rnacentral:lncRNA from 1 species
CCUCCAAAAGUUUGGGUGGGACUUGAGUCCCAGUCCCAUAUGCUGUAGAUCCGCCCCUGGUUUCUUGGGAAUUGCAGAUGAUUAAAUCCUUGUCCAAAUUGGAGUACGUAUCAUUCUUAAUUGAAGUUUUCUUCUUUGCAUGGCAAAAGCUGGACUUAGGGCAUUUUUGCAAUUCAACGUCAUCACGGUAAAUUCUCAGACAAUGCAGAACACGUCUCAUGCCUUGCUUCGAGGAUUCAAAGUUGGUGUAAGAUCUGGAAUCCAGAACGCAGAGAUAUUUGACACGAAUGGGGUUGAGGGUUGAAACCCUCUCCCUCUGUUGGUAAACUUGCUUCACUUCCUUGAAGCUUUCUGAGGAUUCAAUCGGAUCGUAAACCUAAUCAACCCAAGUCCCCAAUCCAACCUCUGGGUUCGAGAUGGGCCCAGUGAUUGCAUCGAAUUGAAUUCAUUGCGUUUUCUGCAGAAUUGAGUCCCUGUUCAUUUGUUUCUCCUGGGAUACUUUUGUGAAUUUCAAUUUUCAUUUCUUGGAGAAGGAAUAUGAUUUGGAGUGUCUGGAAUUGGGUUUGGUAAGGUUAUAAAUAUGCUCAAGUUUUGGUCCAGCUUUGAACAAGUCAGGAUCGUUAUCUGUGUAUGAGAGCUUAAGUUGAUCGUGACAUGAUUUUUGUGUUUUAUAUAUCUGGGAGCUCUGUGAUCAGUUUAGGUUGGCAUUGUAGAACUGAAGCUUGAAUUUCAGAAUGAUGAUUUGCUGAAAUUUUGUUCAUAUGAUGAUUUGCUGAGAUUUUAUUCAUAUGGCAAUGUCAUUUUUUUUAUUGACUUG